UACUUUCUUACAUGCACACACACAUUUCCAGUGGUCACUCCCCAUUGUGUCUGCAGUGACACACAUUCUUUAGUGACGCAAUUGAUGGCAUCCCAUUCUGACUUCACUUGCCUUUCCAGUGUUUUCCACACUGUGCUGCCUGUGCACACCACUGUAUUUCAGCCGCAUCACUCUUUCUGUUAGUUCUCUGGAUGCGACCAGCACUUUUCCACUUCAAGCAUGCUGUUCCUUUUGCAACAAACCUCCCAAGAGAAUUUUACUCCUCUUUCAAGACCUGUUUCAAAUGCUGCUAUAAUAGAGUCUGUACACCAGAUACUCUACAUUCAAAUAAUAUUAUACAUUCAGUUCUAUACAUUCAUUUUGAUAUAUUCAUUUGAUACAUUCAUUUGAUUCUAUGCAUUCAAAUGCCGCUGUACAUUAAUUCUCCCUCUUAAGCAGAUGCAUUUGCCAUCUCUUUGGUCUCACAAAAUAAUUCAUACUUCUUUUAUGAAAUUUAUAGUAGUGUUCUUUGCAUUAUUGAUGUUUGCACUAAUCUUUCAUUGUCUUCAGCCCUCAGGGCAUCUUUAGCCCUUUUUGGCAGAAAUCCGGAAUCCUCAGGCUACAUCACAAUUCCACAACAGAUGAGGGAGACACAUUCUGCCAAUUUCAGGCGGAUGUGUUCCUCCUGACACGUUCUUUGUUCCCUUGAAGGGUACCGCAGUACACUCAAAUCAAGGCCUUUUGUGUUUUUAUUCCCAUCACUAUUAUACUUGGUAUCUCCUUUCUGACCACAAAAGGAUAAAUUAAGAAUCUGAUGGUUCCCUCAUCUCAGAAAGUCACAAGGGAAAUGAUAUUUUUUCAUACUAAAUCUCUUAAUCCCUUAAUUCAUCCCUGACCUGAUGAAGUCUCUAAAGCAAUUGUAGCCAUUUUUUUCAAGAUUUUGUGUACUUUAUUACAAGUGUGUUAUACCUCAAUAAAAAUACUUUUUAAAAGCAAUCAGAAAAAAGAAGAAAGACUACCAGCAAAGAGAUGACAGCUAGAUUAGCAGCCUACAUUUGAUCAGAAACAAAAAAAGUUUGGAAUGUAAUUCAAUCGUAACUUUAAAGUACCAGGGAAAAUAAACAUCAACUCAGUCUUUUACCUAAACAAAUGAUUAUUUAUGAGUAAUGGUGACUAAAGUCGUUUUCACACCAAGACUAAAAUAACCUCCAAAAUAUGUGCUUCAGCAAGGACUACAACAGAUGAAUCGAUAAUAGCAAACAGGCACUAUUGGAAUUAGAAGAACUGCAAACAUGAUGAAAUAUAUUUUAUCAUCAGAAUUAAUUAAUUGUUGAUGUUUUCUUAUGGUACAUAAUCUGCUACCAAUAUAUAAUAAAGUUCUUGAAAUAAUUAUAAUAUGA